UACGAAGGGGGCUAGCGUUGCUCGGAAUCACUGGGCGUAAAGGGUGCGUAGGCGGGUCUUUAAGUCAGGGGUGAAAUCCUGGAGCUCAACUCCAGAACUGCCUUUGAUACUGAAGAUCUUGAGUUCGGGAGAGGUGAGUGGAACUGCGAGUGUAGAGGUGAAAUUCGUAGAUAUUCGCAAGAACACCCAGUGGCGAAGGCGGUUCUCUGGGCCUUACCUGACGCUG
rnacentral:rRNA from 1 species